UACAGAGGGUGCAAGCGUUAAUCGGAGUUACUGGGCGUAAAGGGCGCGUAGGCGGUUAUUUAAGUUUGAUGUGAAAUCCCUGGGCUUAACCUAGGAACUGCAUUGAAUACUGGAUGACUGGAGUACUGUAGAGGGUAGUGGAAUUUCCGGUGUAGCGGUGAAAUGCGUAGAGAUCGGAAGGAACACCAGUGGCGAAGGCGGCUACCUGGACAGAUACUGACGCUGAGGCGCGAGAGCGUGGGGAGCAAACAGG
rnacentral:rRNA from 1 species